AGGGUUCGAUUCUGGCUCAGGAUGAACGCUGGCGGCGUGCCUAACACAUGCAAGUCGAGCGGAGAUAUUGAGGGAUCUUUAGAUGAUCUCCUUAUCUUAGCGGCGGAUGGGUGAGUAACACGUGGGUAACCUGCCCUGCACAGGGGGAUAACAGCUGGAAACGGCUGUUAAUACCGCAUAUGCACACGCUGCCGCAUGGCAGAGGGUGGAAAGAUUUAUCGGUGCAGGAUGGGCCCGCGUCGGAUUAACUAGUUGGCAGGGUAACGGCCUACCAAGGUUAUGAUCCGUAGCCGACCUGAGAGGGUGACCGGCCACAUUGGGACUGAGACACGGCCCAAACUCCUACGGGAGGCAGCAGUGGGGGAUAUUGCACAAUGGGCGGAAGCCUGAUGCAGCGACGCCGCGUGAAGGAAGAAGUAUUUCGGUAUGUAAACUUCUAUCAGCGGGGAAGAAGAUGACGGUACCCGACUAAGAAGCCCCGGCUAACUACGUGCCAGCCGCCGC
rnacentral:rRNA from 1 species